UGCGUUGUGCCACGCUGUGCAAUACUGUUGCAUGCUGUGCUGAGCCAUGCCAUGCUGUUCCAUGCCAUGCUGUGCCAUGCUGUGCCAUGCCAUGCUGUGCCAUGCUGUGCCAUGCUGUGCCAUGCCAUGCUGUGCCAUGCUGUGCCAUGCCAUACUGUGCCAUGCCAUGCUGUGCCAUGCAAUGCUGUGCCAUGCCAUGCUGUGCCAUGCCAUGCUGUGUCAUGCCAUGCUGUGCCAUGCACAUGCAGCUCAAUCCAAUGCUGCCAUGCCAUGCUGUGUCAUGCCUGCUGUCCAUGCUGUGCCAAUGCCAUGCUGUGCCAUGCCAUGCUGUGUCAUGCUGUGCCAUGCCAUGCUGUUGCCAUGCCAUGCUGUGGCCAUUGCCAUGCCAUGCCAUUGCCAUAAGCUGUGCCAUGCCAUGCUGUGCCAUGCUGUGCCAUGCUAUGCUGUGCCAUGCCAUGCCAUGCUGUGCCAUGCUGUGCUGUGCCGAUGACCAUGCCAUGCCAUGCUGUGCCAUGCCAUGCUGUGCCAUGCCAUGCUGUGCCAUGCUGUGCCAUGCCAUGCCAUGCUGUGCCAUGCUGUGCCAUGCCAUGCUGUGCCAUGCCAUGCUGUGUGCCAUGCUGUGCCAUGCCAUGCUGUGCCAUGCCAUGCUGUGUGCCAUGCUAUGCUGUGUGCCAUGCCAUGCUGUGCCAUGCCAUGCUGUGUGCCAUGCCCAUGGCUGUGCCAUGCAUGCCAUGCUGUGCCAUGCCAUGCUGUGCCAUGCCAUGCCAUGCUGUGCCAUGCCAUGCUGUGCCGUGCCAUGCUGUGCCAUGCUGUGCCAUGCCAUGCUGUGCCAUGCCAUGCUGUGCCAUGCCAUGCUGUGCCAUGCCAUGCUGUGUCAUGCUGUGCCAUGCAAUGCUGUGCCAUGCCAUGCUGUGUCAUGCUGUGCCAUGCCAUGCUGUGCCAUGCAAUGCUGUGCCAUGCCAUGCUGUACCAUGCUGUGCCAUGCCAUGCCAUGCUGUGCCAUGCCAUGCAUAGCUGUGCUGCUCUGUGAGAUUUGAGAGGCUGUACUGUGCCAUGCCAUUCUGUGCUGCACUCUGUCAUGCUAUGUCACACCA
rnacentral:lncRNA from 1 species